rnacentral:misc_RNA from 1 species
GAUGAAGAACGUAGCGAAAUGCGAUACGUAAUGUGAAUUGCAGAAUUCAGUGAAUCAUCGAAUCUUUGAACGCAUAUUGCGCUCUCUGGUAUUCCGGAGAGCAUGCUUGUUUGAGUAUCAGUAAACACAUCAACUCCCUUUUCUUUUUUGAAAUUGGAGCUGGACUUGAGUGAUCCCAACGCUUUCUUCCAAGAAAGUGGCGGGUUGCUUGAAAUGCAGGUGCAGCUGAACUUUUCUCUGAGCUAUAAGCAUAUCUAUUUAGUCUGCCUAAAAAACAGAUUAUUACCUUUGCUGCAGCUAACAUAAAGGAGACUAGUUCUUGUGCUGACUGAUGCAGGAUUCACAGAGACAGCUUCGGCUGACUUUGUAAACUCGAUCUCAAAUCAAGUAAGACUACCCGCUGAACUUAAGCAUAUCAAUAAGCGGAGGA